UACGGGGGGAGCAAGCGUUGUUCGGAUUUACUGGGCGUAAAGGGCGCGUAGGCGGCCUCUGCGAGUCGACUGUGAAAUCUCCGGGCUUAACCCGGAAAGGUCAGCCGAUACUGCAGGGCUAGAGUGCAGAAGGGGCAACUGGAAUUCUCGGUGUAGCGGUGAAAUGCGUAGAUAUCGAGAGGAACACCUGCGGCGAAGGCGGGUUGCUGGGCUGACACUGACGCUGAGACGCGAAAGCGUGGGGAGCGAACCGG
rnacentral:rRNA from 1 species